GUGCCAGCAGCCGCGGUAAUACCGGCAGCCCGAGUGAUGGCCGAUCUUAUUGGGCCUAAAGCGUCCGUAGCUGGCUGCGCAAGUCCGUCGGGAAAUCCACUCGCCCAACGAGUGGGCGUCCGACGGAAACUGCACGGCUUGGGGCCGAGAGACUCGACGGGUACGUCCGGGGUAGGAGUGAAAUCCCAUAAUCCCGCACGGACCACCGAUGGCGAAAGCACUUCGAGAAAACGGAUCCGACAGUGAGGGACGAAAGCCAGGGUCUCCAACCGGAUUAGAUACCCCAGUAGUCC
rnacentral:rRNA from 1 species